rnacentral:lncRNA from 1 species
UUGAGUAUGAUGCACCAUUAUUUUCUGAUCAUUCCUUAAUGUAUAUACACGCAGAGAAAGCAACACCUAGAGGUAAGAAACCAUUUAGAUUCUUUAACAUGUGGAGUACUCAUCCUCAAUUCCUUGAUAUUAUCAGAUCGGCUUGGAAUAUUAAUAUACAUGGUUCGCCACUUUACAUCUUAUGCCAAAAGCUCAAAGUUUGCAAAGCGGC